rnacentral:rRNA from 1 species
UACGUAGGGGGCAAGCGUUGUCCGGAAUUAUUGGGCGUAAAGCGCGCGCAGGCGGCCGUUUAAGUCUGGUGUUUAAGCCCGGGGCUCAACCCCGGUUCGCACUGGAAACUGGGCGGCUUGAGUGCAGGAGAGGAAAGCGGAAUUCCACGUGUAGCGGUGAAAUGCGUAGAUAUGUGGAGGAACACCGGUGGCGAAGGCGGGUCUCUGGGCAGUAACUGACGCUGAGGAGCGAAAGCGUGGGGAGCGAACAGG